ACGGGUUCAAUAGGUCAGACCUGGAAGCUCAGUAAUGGGUGUAGGGAACUGGUGCUAACCGGCCGAAAACUUACAAC
rnacentral:rRNA from 1 species